rnacentral:rRNA from 1 species
CGAUGAACCUCCUUCGGGAGGGGAUUAGUGGCGAACGGGUGAGUAACACGUGGGCAAUCUGCCCUGCACUCUGGGACAAGCCCUGGAAACGGGGUCUAAUACCGGAUACGACCUGGGAAGGCAUCUUCCCGGGUGGAAAGCUCCGGCGGUGCAGGAUGAGCCCGCGGCCUAUCAGCUUGUUGGUGGGGUAAUGGCCUACCAAGGCGACGACGGGUAGCCGGCCUGAGAGGGCGACCGGCCACACUGGGACUGAGACACGGCCCAGACUCCUACGGGAGGCAGCAGUGGGGAAUAUUGCACAAUGGGCGAAAGCCUGAUGCAGCGACGCCGCGUGAGGGAUGACGGCCUUCGGGUUGUAAACCUCUUUCAGCAGGGAAGAAGCGAAAGUGACGGUACCUGCAGAAGAAGCGCCGGCUAACUACGUGCCAGCAGCCGCGGUAAUACGUAGGGCGCAAGCGUUGUCCGGAAUUAUUGGGCGUAAAGAGCUCGUAGGCGGCUUGUCGCGUCGGAUGUGAAAGCCCGGGGCUUAACCCCGGGUCUGCAUUCGAUACGGGCAGGCUAGAGUUCGGUAGGGGAGAUCGGAAUUCCUGGUGUAGCGGUGAAAUGCGCAGAUAUCAGGAGGAACACCGGUGGCGAAGGCGGAUCUCUGGGCCGAUACUGACGCUGAGGAGCGAAAGCGUGGGGAGCGAACAGGAUUAGAUACCCUGGUAGUCCACGCCGUAAACGUUGGGCACUAGGUGUGGGCAACAUUCCACGUUGUCCGUGCCGCAGCUAACGCAUUAAGUGCCCCGCCUGGGGAGUAC